rnacentral:rRNA from 1 species
GGAUGAGCCCGCGGCCUAUCAGCUUGUUGGUGGGGUAACGGCCUACCAAGGCAUCGACGGGUAGCUGGUCUGAGAGGACGAUCAGCCACACUGGGACUGAGACACGGCCCAGACUCCUACGGGAGGCAGCAGCAGGGAAUCUUGCGCAAUGGGCGAAAGCCUGACGCAGCAACGCCGCGUGGGGGAUGACGGCCUUCGGGUUGUAAACCCCUUUCAGGAGGGAAGAAAUUGACGGUACCUCCAGAAGAAGCCCCGGCCAACUACGUGACAGCAGCCGCGGCCG